UACGAAGGGGGCUAGCGUUGCUCGGAAUGACUGGGCGUAAAGGGCGCGUAGGCGGCUCAUACAGUCAGAUGUGAAAUUCCUGGGCUUAACCUGGGGGCUGCAUUUGAUACGUGUGGGCUUGAGUGGGGAAGAGGGUCGUGGAAUUCCCAGUGUAGAGGUGAAAUUCGUAGAUAUUGGGAAGAACACCGGUGGCGAAGGCGGCGACCUGGUCCUUGACUGACGCUGAGGCGCGAAAGCGUGGGAGCAAACAGG
rnacentral:rRNA from 1 species